rnacentral:rRNA from 1 species
CGAGUGAAGCGGCAACAGCUCAAAUUUGAAAUCUGGCACUUGGUGCCCGAGUUGUAAUUUGUAGAGGAUGCUUUUGGCGACGCGCCUUCCGAGUUCCCUGGAACGGGACGCCAUAGAGGGUGAGAGCCCCGUCCGGUCGUGCGCCUAGCCUCUGUAAAGCUCCUUCGACGAGUCGAGUAGUUUGGGAAUGCUGCUCUAAAUGGGAGGUAUACGUCUUCUAAAGCUAAAUACCGGCCAGAGACCGAUAGCGCACAAGUAGAGUGAUCGAAAGAUGAAAAGCACUUUGAAAAGAGGGUUAAAUAGUACGUGAAAUUGCUGAAAGGGAAGCGCUUAUGACCAGACUUGGGCGCGGCGGAUCAUCCGGCGUUCUCGCCGGUGCACUCCACCGCCCCAGGCCAGCAUCAGUUCGCGCCGGGGGACAAAGGCUUCGGGAAUGUGGCUCCCUCGGGAGUGUUAUAGCCCGUUGCGUAAUACCCUGGUGCGGACUGAGGUCCGCGCUCUGCAAGGAUGCUGGCGUAAUGGUCAUCAGUGACCCGUCUUGAAACACGGACCAAGGAGUCGUCUUCGUAUGCGAGUGUUCGGGUGUCAAACCCCUACGCGGAAUGAAAGUGAACGUAGGAGAGAGCUUCGGCGCAUCUCCGACCGAUCCUGAUGUUCUCGGAUGGAUUUGAGUAAGAGCAUACGGGGCCGGACCCGAAAGAAGGUGAACUAUGCCUGUGUAGGGUGAAGCCAGAGGAAACUCUGGUGGAGGCUCGCAGCGGUUCUGACGUGCAAAUCGAUCGUCAAACAUGGGCAUGGGGGCG